GACGCGGGAGCCAGACGGUCGGGCGAUCGGCUGCAACCCGAUAGAAGUGGGUUCGACUCCCACCCGCGUCUC
rnacentral:tRNA from 1 species